rnacentral:rRNA from 1 species
UGGGGAAUAUUGGACAAUGGGGGGAACCCUGAUCCAGCCAUGCCGCGUGUGUGAAGAAGGCCUUAUGGUUGUAAAGCACUUUAAGCGAGGAGGAGGCUCUCUUGGUUAACACCCAAGAAGAGUGGACGUUACUCGCAGAAUAAGCACCGGCUAACUCUGUGCCAGCAGCCGCGGUAAUACAGAGGGUGCGAGCGUUAAUCGGAUUUACUGGGCGUAAAGCGUGCGUAGGCGGCUUUUUAAGUCGGAUGUGAAAUCCCCGAGCUUAACUUGGGAAUUGCAUUCGAUACUGGGAAGCUAGAGUAUGGGAGAGGAUGGUAGAAUUCCAGGUGUAGCGGUGAAAUGCGUAGAGAUCUGGAGGAAUACCGAUGGCGAAGGCAGCCAUCUGGCCUAAUACUGACGCUGAGGUACGAAAGCAUGGGGAGCAAACAGG